GGUCCGCCGCUCCGCCUUCCGCCAUCUUCUUCCACUAGCGGUAGCGGAGGCGGCAGCGACGGCGGCGGCACGCCCCGGAGCAUUGUGGGAAUGGCGUCCGCGGCCCCGCCCCGCCGGCAGCCGCAGAGCCCAAGCACACCGAAUAUUGGCACAAAGAACGCUCUGAAACCAAGUUUCUGUCUUCUAGGUUCUGGCCUUGGGUUCCCAGUUUGACCUCCUCCAGUGUGAGCCACCCACACUUUUCCUUCCCAAGUUGCUUCUGGUCACAAGAUUUCAUCCCAGCAAGAGAAAGCAAACUAAGCCGAGUGUAUAUUGAUGUUUUGCUUUGUGGGUGCCAGUAUUAUGACUGCUUGCUUCUGCACGGUUCUUUUUUGCAUUACUUCAACCUCAUUGAGAGUCUAAAAGUUAGCCGUGUACCGGAGGAUGACUGACCUCCAGCUUCCAUCUCCCCAGUGCUGGGAUGUUUAUCUGUGCUGAGGUCCAAGCCCAGGACUUCAUGCUUGCCAUAUAAGCACUCUACCAGCUGAGUUCCACCUCUGGCCCCUGUUAAGGAUUUUUUUUUUAAGUGAAGGUUAAAUGAAACAAUGUGUGUUUGUUGCUUGGAAGUUAAUAGCAAAUCAAUAAAUGUUAGUGGAAAGAAUUGUACUGAUGGCAGGAUGAA